rnacentral:tRNA from 1 species
GCCGAGGUGGUGGAACUGGUAGACACGUACGCUUGAGGGGCGUAUAACGCAAGUUGUGCAGGUUCAAGUCCUGUCCUCGGCACCA